CAAAAUAAAACAAAACGAGAUACCACGUCGGCGACGACGUCACGGCGGUGUAGUGCGGUUCGAUCAGUAAGUUUCUUCAAGCUGAUGUUUUUUUUUCUAGACUAUUUAUUUGUUAUUUUGCUUUUCAUUUUGCAAUCAAUAGUAAAAAUUUACAACGUAAUGACUUCAUUUUGAUUUCAUUUUGCAAGCUGUUUGUUUUGUAACUAAUAAAUCUGUGCAAUGCUGGUAAUUUUACAAGCUGUUUGUUUUGCAACUAAAAUAAUAAAUCGGUGAAGUGCUUUUCAUUUUUCAAGUUAUUUUUUAAUUUGUUUGCUUUUCAUUUUGCAAGCUAUUUGUAUUACUUACAAACAAGCUGAUGAUAUUAGUAAUUAUACUCAUAAAGUCACAAGAAUUUAAAAUUUUACAACAAAUCAAAGAUAAUGAAAGUCAAAAUCUUGUUUCAACAUAACUUACAUGCUAUUUUAUAUAAAUGUUUUAUAUUUUACAUGUCAAUUAACAUCAUGUGUAAUUUUCGUUUUAUUUGUAGGAACACAAUUUAACAACGGGAGUACAAACAGUUUGCUUGUAAGUUAAUAUUGCAGAGUUGUUCAUUAGCCGACAUAGUAAACUUAGUGAGAUAUUCCAUGUUUUUUUCUCACUAUACCUCCUAAGAUGCCUCUUAAAAAUAGAAAGUAUGAAUGUGAAAAUGAUAAGCGUAAGAAAAAGAAAAAAAAUUGAAGAGUUAGUUCAAUCUCAAGUAGGAGCCCUUGAUAAAUAUUUAAUAAAAGAUAAUGUGUCCAUUGAAAAUGAUAAUGUUGAUAGUGUGCCAAUUGAAAAUGAUAAUGUUGUUAGUGUGCCCAUUAAAAAUAAUAAUGUUGAUAGUGUGUCCAUUGAAAAUGAUAAUGUUGAUAGUGUGCCUAUUGAAAG
rnacentral:lncRNA from 1 species